AACACUUUACACAGUGCUUGGUAUACAGUAAAUCUAGGUAAUGGUUUUGGCAAGGAUUUUAUGUUUAUGUUUUGUUUUUACUUCUUCCCAGGAGACUCCUGCUUUCAAGUCAGUUCAUUAAUCAUUAUCAUUCUCAUCUACAGGAGGUAGGAAUUAGUAUCCUCAUUUUGUAAAUGAGACUACUGAAGAUGAAUGAGAUUAAAUGAUUUGCCCAAGGCCUCCAUGUUGGACUGUGAUUUUGUAAAAAGGCAGAGCAAAUUCUGUUAGUUCUACAUAGGAGAUGGGAGAUCACAGCAGGUUGAUAGAAUCUAGAAGGGGCAAAAUGGAGAUGAGAACUUAGAAGUAGAAAUGGAAACAAUGAAGAUGUCAAGAAAGGCAAAGUCAAGACAGGUGAGAGCAAGACCCAGCUUUGGGGAUUUGGAUUGGCAGGGCCAACCCUGCAAACCAGCUCAGCCAGAAGAGGGGCAAGGCACCUUCAUUAUGGGUCAAUGCUUUGGAGUUUGAAGGGGGAAAGUGGAGAGUCCCUGGGAACCUAAGCAACCCAGGAAGAAGAGGGUCAACGAUAGCAGAUCUCAUGGAAAAAGUAUUUAUGGAAGUAUGUUUUUUACCUACUGCCAUUGUGAAUUGUCUGACAGUUUCACCAUGAGGUACAGAGCAGCAGGAAGGCUACUCAGAAUCAAUCUCAUUUCUAGGGUGAAGACUCUUGUAUGUCCUGAUGGGAUGACUUUCAUAGAAGAACAGCCUGCAGAUAAUAAUGGGUUACAAUAAACUUACUGCUCCUGAAAGAACCAGCAACUAGUUUGUCCUAAAACCAAUCUUCCCUUCUGAUAAGUCCCAAUGCCAUGUAACCAUUGGAUACUUAUCAUUUGUUAUAUAAUGAGUUACGUUUUCAUAUAUUUAUGCUAACUCUCUAACUUGACUAUAUAUUCUACCAAGAUAGAAGUAAAUAUUCCUUCCUCAUUUUCCUAUGGAUAUAAAUUUAUACAUUGUACCUAUUUAAUCAAAUACUUGACUGGUUGGAUGCCUGCAUCAAAUGCAGACAUGACUCCCCCCAAAAUGGGCUUUGUAGGAGCCUAUGUGGCAAAGAUUAGGGUUCCUGGGAAGCCGAAUCUGAGAUGAAAUUAAGAGCUCGUUAUGUUAAUUAAGGUGCAUCCUUGGAUUCAACACCUCUCGAGUUAGGGGAAGGAAGCAGACAGGGCAGAGAAAGAAGUUGAGCUUCCACGGAGACCCAUCACAGCUUCAGGGAAUCUCAUAGAGAUUUCUAGAGCUAGAAUGACCCUUCAGCAUUUUCUCAGGUUGAUUUGCAAUGAACAGGCCCUUACACUCCCUCCUUGAUCAGUUUUUGGAUGUGGGCUCCCUGCAAAGGGAUGUGUCCUUGGGCAAGGCUGCUCUCUGUAACAGAGGCAAUCCUUGGAAGGGCAGCCAGCUUAUGGCCAUCUGCCAACAGCUGAAGAGCAACAAGUUCUUCAGUGAAGGAAGGCCUGGCCAGUGCAGCACUGGGCUCAUUUAUAUUAGGUAACUCCAGGUAAAUGUAAGUGCAUUUCUUAGAGGUGGGAUGAGGUACUUUGAAGUACCUCACUGAGUUUAAAGGCAAAGGUAUUGAUACCCACAGUUAUAUUCAUUAUUUCUGGUUGAGUUCAAUUACACUGAAUUUGAGAUGGCAGUUUGAAAAUUUACUGUCAGUAACUACCAAAAAAAAAAAAAAAGAAAGAGCAGAGCAUUGUCUUCGCGAUUAUGCUGGGACACUUUCAGAGUAAGUCCCCAAGAUACAAGGUCCAAAAAAAAUACUGAUGUGGUACUCAAUUGUGGUUCUUUGUAGUCUCUUUCUAAGAGAACUUCAGCUGCAUGUUGGAUGGAAAACAAUAUGAAACAAGGGAGAGAGAGAAGAAACAGAGUUUGUUAAUAUUCUCUGCUAGAUUCUGCAGAGGAAUCACUUUAUUUUGCAGUUGCAACUAGCUUAAGUUAUGUAGCUAGAAGUUAUGUAGCUAGAAAGCUGACUUGCACACUUAAAGCUAAUGAAGAGAAAUGCAGGUUUUCCGGGGUAGGUUCUUGGCACUUCUCUGCAAAUAGGUAAAAGGGAAUGGCAGAUAUUCAAGCUUAGGGAGCAAGCAGCAAGGACAGAGCCUUCCCCGUCUCUGUGUGUUGAAGUCAGCAGAUAGCACACCUGCUGCUGCGUGAGUUCCUUCUGCCAAGCAGAGCAGCACAGCUGCAAGACACCCUGCUUCUGGCUCUGAGCUUUGCUUGUCUUCAGGGAUGGAGCCCCUCCCAAGGCAAGUUCAACUGGGUUCUUUGGCAGCCGAAGUCUACACGGACCCUGCAGGGAGCGGUGGAGAAAAGUUAGAUGUCUGAAGUGUUUUUCAUUGGACCAAAAUCAAGGUGUUGGCUGGGCUACCUUCCCUUCUGGAGACUCUAAGGAAGAAUCCAUUUCCUUGUCUUUUCCAGAUCCUAGAGGCUACCUGCAUUCCUUGGCUUUUAUCCCCAAUCUUCCAUCUUCGGAGCCAGCAACAAUAUAUUGAUCAUGAGGAGAGGGCUCACCCCUCACCCGGAGAAGUAGUUGGGGAAGCAAUAUGCGGAAACAAAGCCAUGAAUCUGACAAGAAAUGUACUUAAGAUUGUAUAUAUGGAGAUGAAUACCCAUUGUCCUUUGCACUUUCUGGAUGAUAAAUUAGAAAAGAAAAAUCCAAAGAAUGAAGUUGUGCUAUUUGUCCUCACUUCUGAUUUGGGAAACUAGAGGAAAUUAAGAUGGGAAAAGACCAUGUGAGGACACAGUGAGAAGGAGACCAUAUGCAAAGCAGGAAGGAAGAUCUCACUGGAACCAAAAACCAGCCCUGCUGGCACCCUGAUCUUGGACUUCUAGCCUUUCUCAGAACUGUGAGAAAAUAAAUUUCUGAUGUUUCAGCCACUCAGCCUGUGGUCGUUCGUUAUGCAACCCUAGCAGACAAACAGGGACCUAGCUUAAGAACUGGUUAAAAAUGAGGCCAGUGAGGAAUUUGAUACUCUAUGGUUGGGAAAGUUUGAUUUAUUCUAAGUGCAAUGGAAUGGAGCUGGGGAUAUAAAUUUUGGAUUUACUGGCAGGUGAAACAUAUUUUAAAAUAGACUAAAAUUAAAUUUCCUAAGGACAGAAUGUAGACAGAAAAGAAUCAAGGUUUUAUGACCAAGAUCCAAGUCACUCCAAUAUUUAGAGUUCUCCCAAGCAUUUAAAGAAGGCUUACACUGAUUCUAUGUAGCAUCUUCCAAAAAAUAGAAAUUUUUCACGGCAUCUUUCCAAGUCAUUAUAUGAGGCCAAAAUUACCUUGAUAUUUUAACCAAAGACAGUACGAGAGAAAAAGCUAUAGAUCAAUAUCUCACAUGAACUUAGACAUAACAUUUCUAAACAAAAUAUUAGCAACUUGAAUCCAGAAAUAUGUAAAAAAGAAUUAUGCAACAUAGCCAAGUGGGAUCUAUUCCAGGUAUGCAAUGCUUUUAAAUGUUUGAAAAAAAGUCAAUAUAAUCUACCAUAUUAACAGGCUAAUCACAUGAUCAUAUCAGUUGAUGAAGAUCAAAUCUAUGACAAAAUUUAACACCUAUUUAUAAUUUUAAAGAACCUCUCUAAAAAUAAAAAAUAGAAGGAAAUAUCCUCAAAUUGAUAAAGAUCAUUUACAGAAAACACAAAAGCUAGCAUUACACUUAAUGGUGAGAAUCUGAAUUAGUUCCCCCUAAGAUCAGGACCAGGCAAAGAUGUUUGCUAUCAUCACUCUCAUUCCAUAUAGUGCUGGAAGUUCUCACUGGUGCAAUAAGGCACACAGUGGAAAUAAAGACACUGAAAUUUGUGUUAGUUAAUUUUGUGUUGCUAUAACGGAAUGCCACAGAAUGGAUAAUUUAUUAAGAAAAUUGUUUAUUUCUUACAGUUUUGGAGGCUCAGAAGUUCAAGGUGCAGGGGCCCACAUCUGGUGAGGGCCUUCUUGCUGUAUCAUCCCAUGGCAGAAGGCAAAAGGGCAAGAGUACAAGAUAGAAAGAGAAAGAGGGAUGGGGGAAGGUUGAUAUGAGGGAGCCAAACUCAUCCUUUUUAUCCAGAGUCCACUCCUGAGAUAAUUAAGUCACUUCCGCAAUACAUCAUUAAUCCAUUCAGAGCCCUCAUGACCUAAUCACCUUUUAAAGGUUCCACUUAACGCUGUUGCACUGGGGAUUAAGUUUCCAAUACAAAAACUUUGGGGGAUGCAUUCAAACUAUAGCCAGUUUGAAUGGAAAAAAAUUUAACUGUUUCUAUUUCAAAUGACCUAAUUGUAUACAUAGAAAAUUCCAGGCAAUCUUUUAAAAACUCCCAGAACUAAUGUAUAAGUUUAGCAAGAUCAUAGGAUCCAAGACCAACACACAAAAAUCAAUCAUAUUUUUAUACGCUAGCAAUGAAUAUGUGGAAAACACAAUUAAGAAUACAAGACUAUUUACAAUUAUUUCAAAAAAGAGAGAAAUAAUUAGAUACAAAUCUAAUGUACACAUAGGUCCUCUAUGCCAAAAAUGACAGAACCCAAAGGAACAAAUGCAAAGGACCUUUAAAUAAAUGGAGAGAUGACUUUGUAAUGGAUAGAAAGAUUCAACAUAAUAAAGAUGUCAAUUCUCUCCAACUUCAUCAACAGGGGCAAUUCAAUUCAUAUCAAAAUUCCAAAAAAAUUUUUUUGCAGAUAUAGUAAAAUUUAUUUUAAAAUUUAUAUCUCAAGGCACAGGCCAUGGACUAAGUAAAAUUAUUUUGAAAUUGAAUAAAGUUGGGUAGAUUAUUAUAUCCAAUGUUAAGACUUAAUAUAUGGCUACAAUAAUCAAGAGAGUGUGAUAUUGGUUGGGGGAAUAGACUCAUAGAUCAAUGGAACAGAAGAGAUAACCCGAAACUAAACAACACAAAUAUGCCCAGCUGAUUUUUGCAAAGGUUAUAAAAGCGGUUCAGUGGAAGAACAGUUCUUUCAACAGAUGAUGUUAAAGCAAUUAGAUGUCCAAGGGCAAAUAAUUGAGUCUCAACCUAAACCUAAUACUUCAUUCAAAAAUUAAUUCAAAGUGUAUUAUAGAUUUAAAUAUAAAUGUAAAACUAAAAAACUUUAGCAUAAAACAAAGAAAAAUUUUAGGAAGUAGGGCUAGAUGAGAAGAUCUUAGAUAUGACACCAAAAGCACAACUCAUAAGAGAAUAUAAUUACUCUAUUGGACUUCAUAAAAAUUAAAAACUUUUGCUCUGUGAAAGACUACAUUUAGAGAAUGAAAAGUUAAUCUAAAGUUAAUCUACAGACUAGAGGAAAAUAUUUGCAAAUCACAAGAUUCAACAUAGGGCUUCUACUUAGAAUAUAUAAAGAGCUCUCAAGCUGAACAUUAAAAGAAAAAUAAGCAGGCUGGUCUGAAGAUAGCGAAGUAUCUCAACUGAUUGUUCACAGUUCGUUAAGGAUCUUACUCUUUGUUCUACAAUUCCCCCCUUCUCACUACUGCACUUGACUAAUAAAAAAGCAAUUAAAUUAGAAAAUUUAUAAACAAAAUUAACAAAAGAUUUUUAACUGGGGAGAGAUGAUAUCUCAUUUUAGUUUUGAUUUGCUUUUCUCUGAUAAUCAAUGAUGUUGAAUGCGUUUUCACAUGCCUGUUUGACAUUUGUAUGUCUUCUUUUGGGCAACGUCUAUUCAAAUCUUUUGCCCAUUUUUUAAAUCAAAUUAUUAGAUUUUUUCCUGUAAAAUUGUUUGAGCUCCUUAUAUAUUCUAAUUAUUAAUCCCUCAUCAGGUGGGUAGUUUGCAAAUAAUUUCUCCCACUCUGCACAUUGUCUCUUCACUUUGUUUAUUGUUCCCUUCAUUCUGCAGAAGCUUUUAAACUUGAUUUGACCCCACUUGUCCAUAUCCAAAAGACAGGCAAUAACAAAUGCUGGUGAGGAUGUGGAGAAAAGUGAAUGCUUGUACACUGUUUGUGGGAAUAUAAAUUAGUAUAACCACUCUGAAGAAUAGUUUGGAGGUUCCUCGAAAAAUUAAAAAUAGAGCUACCAUAUGAUCCAGCAAUACCAUUCCUAGGUAUAUGACCAAUAGAAGGGAAAUCAAUAUAUUGAAGAGAUACCUGCACUCCCAUGUUAGCUGAAACACCGUUCAUAAUAGCCAAGAUUUGGAAGCAAUCUAAGUGUCCAUCAAUAGAUGAAUGGAUAAAGAAAGUGUGGUACUUAUACACAAUGGAGAAUUAUUUAGCCACGGAAAAGCAUGAGAUCCUGUCAUUUGCAACAACAUGGAUGGAACCGGAGAUCAUUAUGUUAAGUGAAAUAAGCCAGGCACAGAAAGACAAAGAUCACAUGUUCUCACUUAUUUGUGGGAGCUAAAAUUUAAAACGAUUGAACUCGUAUACAUAGAGUGUAGAGGAUGGUUACCAGAGGCUGGGAAGGGUAGUUGGGGUUGAUAGGGAAGAUGAAAAUAGCUAAUGGGUUAAAAAAAAUGAAAGAAUGAAUAAUACCUGGUAGUUGAUAGCAAAACAGGGUUACUAUAGUCAAAAUAAUUUAAUUGUAUAUUUUCAAAUAACUAAAAGAAUGUAAUUGGAUUGUUUGUAACACAAAGGAUAAAUGCUUAAGGAGAUGAAUACCCCAUUUACCCUGAUGUGAUUAUUAUAUGCAUUGCAUACCUGUCAUCUGGAUGUCCAAGCAGAAGUUUGCUGCAGAGGUGGGGCCUCAUGAAGAACCUCUGCUAGGGCAGUGUGGAAGAGAAAUGUGGGGUUGGAUGCCCCAGAGUCCCCACUGGGGCACUGCCUAGUAGAGCUGUGAGAAGAGAGCCACCAUCCUCCAUACUCCAGAACGAUAGAUCCACCAACAGCUUGCACUAUGCGCCUGGAAAAGCUGCAGACAUUCAACACUAGCCCCUGAAAGCAGCCAGGAUGGGGGCUGUAUCCUGCAAAGCCACAGGGGAGGAGCUGCCCGAGGCUGUGGGAGCUCACCUCUUGUAUCAGCAUGACCUGGAUAUGAGACAUGAAGUCAAAGGAGAUCAUUUUGGAGCUUUAAGAUUUAAUGAUUGCCCCUUGGGAUUACAGACUUGCAUGGAGUCUUAGCCCUUUUGUUUUGGCCAAUUCCUCCCAUUUGGAACAGGUAUAUUUACCCACUGCCUGUACCCCCAUUAUAUCUAGGAAGUAACUCACUUGCUUUUGAUUUUACAGACUCAUAAGUGGAAGGGACUUGCUUUGUCUCUGAUGAUACUUUGGACUGUGAACUUUUGAGUUAAUACUGAAAUGAGUUAAGACUUUGGGGGACUGUUGGGAAGGCAUGAUUGCUUUUGAAAUGUGAGAACAUGAGAUUUGGGAGGGGCCAGGGGCUGAAUGAUAUGGUUUGGUUGUGUCCCCACCCAAAUCUCACCUUAAAUUGUAAUAAUCCCCAUGUGUCAAGGGUGGGGCCAGGUGGAGAUAACUGGAUCAUGGGGGCGGUUUUCCCCAUACUGUUCUCAUGGUAGUGAAUAAGUCUUACGAGUCUGAUGGUUUUAUAAAUAAGACUUCCCCAUACAAGCUCUCUUUUGCCUGCCACCAUGUAAGAUGUGACUUUACUCCUCAUUUGCCUUCCGCUAUGAUUAUGAGGGCUCCCUAGCUAUGUGGACCUGUGAGUCCAUUAAACCUCUUUCCUUAAUAAAUUACCCAGUCUUGGGUGUGUCUUUAUUAGCAGUGUUUGAACAGACAAAUAUACAA
rnacentral:lncRNA from 10 species